rnacentral:rRNA from 1 species
UACGGAGGAUCCAGGCGUUAUCCGGAUUUAUUGGGUUUAAAGGGUGCGUAGGCGGCCUGUUAAGUCAGGGGUGAAAGACGGUAGCUCAACUAUCGCAGUGCCCUUGAUACUGAUGGGCUUGAAUGGACUAGAGGUAGGCGGAAUGAGACAAGUAGCGGUGAAAUGCAUAGAUAUGUCUCAGAACACCGAUUGCGAAGGCAGCUUACUAUGGUCUUAUUGACGCUGAGGCACGAAAGCGUGGGGAUCAAACAGG